rnacentral:misc_RNA from 1 species
UCCGGUUUGUCACCGGCAGUCUCCCUAGAGACCCACAUCUCUGCAGGCUUCCGGCGUAUGUCAAACCCAGGUAAGGUUCUUCGCGUUGCAUCGAAUUAAUCCGCAUGCUCCGCCGCUUGUGCGGGCCCCCGUCAAUUCCUUUGAGUUUUAGCCUUGCGGCCGUACUCCCCAGGCGGGGCGCUUAAUGCGUUAGCUGCGGCACGGAACCCAUGGAAUAGGCCCCACACCUAGCGCCCAACGUUUACGGUGUGGACUAC